UCUUUGAAACACUUCAAUUCGAUUUCAAUGCUAUCGAAGAAUCCUUCAAUCAAGCCUUGAAGAAUCAGGAAGCUAUUGCAAGCUCGAUAGAGUCAUCGUCUGAAGAGGAAUUGGAAAUCCAGGAAGAAACAUCUAAAGGUCCAGCAGCUAAAGGUCUUAGCGAGGAGGAAGACGGCGAGGAAGAAGGGAAAAACGACCUAUCAGAGAGAACCGUCUGUCAUCCAGGUUUGAUGAUAGUAUUAUGUGGUAAAUUGCAAUUUUUAUUAAUAAUUGUUUUACUUUUUUUAAAUUCAACACACACAUGUAAAUCCCUAUAUAAGGGCACCACAUGUAACUUUUUUAUUAUGAAAUAAAAAUCCAAACGUUUUCCC
rnacentral:lncRNA from 1 species